GUGCUUGUUUUGGCAGCACAUAGAUUAAAAUUGGAAUGAUACAGAGAAGAUUAGCAUGGCCCCUGCACAAAGAUGACACACAAAUUUGUGAAGUGUUUAGACUGUUG